CCAACAGGGAUUGCUCUAGUAACGGCGAGUGAAGCAGCAAUAGCUCAAAUUUGAAAUCUGGCGUCUUCGACGUCCGAGUUGUAAUUUGUAGAGGAUGCUUCUGAGUAACCACCGACCUAAGUUCCUUGGAACAGGACGUCAUAGAGGGUGAGAAUCCCGUAUGCGGUCGGAAAGGUGCUCUACACGUAGCUCCUUCGACGAGUCGAGUUGUUUGGGAAUGCAGCUCUAAAUGGGAGGUAAAUUUCUUCUAAAGCUAAAUAUUGGCCAGAGACCGAUAGCGCACAAGUAGAGUGAUCGAAAGAUGAAAAGCACUUUGGAAAGAGAGUUAAAAAGCACGUGAAAUUGUUAAAAGGGAAGGGAUUGCAACCAGACUUGCUCGCGGUGUUCCGCCGGUCUUCUGACCGGUCUACUCGCCGCGUUGCAGGCCAGCAUCGUCUGGUGCCGCUGGAUAAGACUUGAGGAAUGUAGCUCCCUCGGGAGUGUUAUAGCCUCUUGUGAUGCAGCGAGCGCCGGGCGAGGUCCGCGCUUCGGCUAGGAUGCUGGCGUAAUGGUCGUAAUCCGCCC
rnacentral:rRNA from 1 species